rnacentral:rRNA from 1 species
UACGUAGGGUGCAAGCGUUGUCCGGAUUUAUUGGGCGUAAAGAGCUCGUAGGCGGCCUGUCGCGUCGACCGUGAAAACCCGCAGCUCAACUGCGGGCUUGCGGUCGAUACGGGCAGGCUCGAGUUCGGUAGGGGAGACUGGAAUUCCUGGUGUAGCGGUGAAAUGCGCAGAUAUCAGGAGGAACACCGGUGGCGAAGGCGGGUCUCUGGGCCGAUACUGACGCUGAGGAGCGAAAGCGUGGGGAGCGAACAGG